rnacentral:tRNA from 1 species
GGCUUUAUAGUCAAUAAUGAUAUUAGACUGCAAUUCUAAAGGAGUGAAUUAUUUUACUAAGGCUU